rnacentral:lncRNA from 1 species
ACAGAAGGGAAGUAAUAUCUUUAAAAGGAAUGUCAUGUCUUUACAAGCCUAUGAGCUAAUGAUAUUAUGGUUGUAUUACAGAUGAGGAAACUGAGGCUCUGAGAAGCUAAGAGGACAUGUUAAAGGUCACACAGCUAAUAAAUACCCAAGCCACCAAUCAAAUUAGUUCCUCAGACAGAAGUCAAGAUCCCUCUCCUCAUAACCCCAAGCCUGGUUCACUGGCUACCCAGUCAUCAGAAGCAACUUCCUCUAAGUCUAUCUCUAGAGUAUGGAGGGAGGGAGGGAAGGAAGGAAGGAAGGAAGGAAGGAAGGAAGGAAGGAAGGAAGGGAGGAAGGAAGGAAGGAAGGAAGGAAGGAGAGAGAAGGAAGGAAAGAAGGAAGGAAGGAAGGAAGGAAGGAAGGAAGGAAGGAAGGAAGGAAGGAAGGAAGGAAGGAAGGAAGGAGAAAGAGAGAAUUCCCUAGAGAAGGAAGGAAGGAAGGAAGGAAGGAAGGAAGGAAGGAAGGAAGGAAGGAAGGAAGGAAGGAAGGAAGGAAGGAAGGAAGGAAGGAAGGAAAGAAGGAAGGAAGGAAGGAAGGAAGGAAGGAAGGAAGGAAGGAAGGAAGGAAGGAAGGAAGGAAGGAAGGAAGGAAGGAAGGAAGGAAGGAAAGGAAAGGAAAGAGGGAAGGAAGGAAGGGACGAAGGAAGGGACAAAGGAAGGAAAGUAGGAAGGGAGAAGAGAAGGAAGGGAGGGAGGAAAGAGAGAAAGAAAAGGAGGGAGGAAGGAAACCAGUUGGAAAGAAAGAAGGAAAGAAGGAAAGAAGGAAGGAAGGAAAGAAGGAAGGAAGGAAGGAAGGAAGGAAGGAAGGAAGGAAGGAAGGAAGGAAGGAAGGAAGGAAGGAAGGAAGGAAGGAAGGAAGGAAGGAAGGAAGGAAAGGAAAGGAAAGAGGGAAGGAAGGAAGGGAUGAAGGAAGGGAUAAAGGAAGGAAAGUAGGAAGGGAGAAGAGAACGAAGGGAGGGAGGAAAGAGAGAAAGAAAAGGAGGGAGGAAGGAAACCAGUUAGCCAAGGCCAACCAGAAAGAGUUAGUGUCUUGUAAAGGGGUGGGGACUGAUUUGUACUACAAACAAAUAGAUCACAAGCUCUUUAAAGGCUGUGGUGAUACACAACAUAGUCCUGACAAUGUUUAA